CACUGGCUAGAUAACUGGAACUGCUGCUGAGCUCUGCCCAUAUAACACCACAUCAGUUCAUUAGAAGAGGAUCAGAGUCCAGUUAUCUGGAGAGCUGUGGACAGAGAAAAGCAACAGUUAGGCCCACCCACAGCUGUGGGCAGGUUGAGAGCAGUUGUGAACACUACAGUGGGAGGAGAGCAGUUUGCAGCAUCAAACCUACCUCAUAUCAGCCUAAAAGUUCUGGAGAUGGACUCAAACUAAGGAAGAAAAUCCAGCCCCCUUUCAUCUUCAAGUAAAUUCCGAUUCCGAUCCAGGCCUGAAUCCAACCCCUCAGCUCUAUCCUGCUUCUCCAAAUUGAAACGUUGCAUCCACACCUUGCUCUUGAACCUUGCUUUUAUUGAAGGUGGAGGGAAACGCCUAAGAAAUACAAAAAUGGUUUUAAGAAGAUGUUAAGGUGACAUGCUUAGACACUGAGAAAUGCCAAAGAUAAGCAUCCAUGUCUGAAGCGCAGCAUGGUCUAGCAUCCACAGCAUUGGCCUGGGAGUCAGGGCAUGUUAUUGCUAUUCCUGGUUGUGCCACUGACCUGCUUUGUGAUCUCGGGUAAAUCACUUAAUCUCUCUGUGCCUUUGUUUCUGCUCCCACCUUUUGUCUGUCUUGCCUAUUUAGAUUGUCGAUUGUAAGAUCUUUGGGGGCAGAGACUGUUUUGUACAGUGCAAUGGGGCCCUGAUCUUAGUUGUGUCCCGUUGGCACUACUUCAGUACAAAUAACAAGGAAAUAAAACCUUAACUCUGUCCCUUGCA